rnacentral:rRNA from 4 species
GGACAGUGUCUGGUGGGUAGUUUGACUGGGGCGGUCUCCUCCUAAAGCGUAACGGAGGAGCACGAAGGUUGGCUAAUCCUGGUCGGACAUCAGGAGGUUAGUGCAAUGGCAUAAGCCAGCUUGACUGCGAGCGUGACGGCGCGAGCAGGUGCGAAAGCAGGUCAUAGUGAUCCGGUGGUUCUGAAUGGAAGGGCCAUCGCUCAACGGAUAAAAGGUACUCCGGGGAUAACAGGCUGAUACCGCCCAAGAGUUCAUAUCGACGGCGGUGUUUGGCACCUCGAUGUCGGCUCAUCACAUCCUGGGGCUGAAGUAGGUCCCAAGGGUAUGGCUGUUCGCCAUUUAAAGUGGUACGCGAGCUGGGUUUAGAACGUCGUGAGACAGUUCGGUCCCUAUCUGCCGUGGGCGCUGGAGAACUGAGGGGGGCUGCUCCUAGUACGAGAGGACCGGAGUGGACGCAUCACUGGUGUUCGGGUUGUCAUGCCAAUGGCACUGCCCGGUAGCUAAAUGCGGAAGAGAUAAGUGCUGAAAGCAUCUAAGCACGAAACUUGCCCCG